AAAAAAAAAAGGCAAAACCUUAAACAAAAAUAUAAAGAUCUGAAAUGUCCGCAGACUGGCGUGGGCACUGAGGAUGGAGAGAGCGUCCACAGCAGCAUCCUGGAGAUGGUAUGGUGCGCUAUGGAUGAGGCAAUAGGGAGCAGACCAUCCAUCACUCCACCUGUCCUUGUUGCCUCAUCUGGUCAAGAUGUUGCUUUGGCCUCUUCUUCCUCGUUAAGCCCAGCCCCAGCAAGAAAAAUAACAAGAAAAAUUGAGGAUUUGAUGAAAGAGAUUGUGGAGAGGGAAGCAGCUGAGAGGGAGGAAAGAAGAUGGAGAGAAAUGGAGGAGAAAGAAGACCGUCGAGAACGAGAAAGACAGAAAGAGGAGAGACGAGAAAGAGAAUCUAGAGAGAGAGAAGACCGAUGUCGCCAGGAAACGUGCGAGAAAGAGGAAAGGAGAGACAGGGAGGCAAAGGAAAGGGAGGAAAGAUUUCUUCGCCUCCUUGAAAUUCUUUUAAAAAAAAUAAGACCAAUAAAUUAUGUAACAAAUG